UUUUCUUUUUUUUUUUUUUUUAAGAAAGAAGGAAAUCGUGAAACGAAUUCUUCUUUUGUAAUUAAGCCGACGAUUUUAUACUGCGUUCGAGAUAUGUGAAAAUAUGCGAAUAAAAAUAUAUAGGUGGUAAAAAUUUAAUAUAUGAAUGUGUGCAAGAAUUUUGAAAUAUAAUAUGCGAAGAAUAUAUGAGAUGUCCAAUAAGUAUAUAGGAAUAAAAUUAUACUUUUCUCUUAUCACGUAUAUUUCCUUAUAAAUCGUUUUAAAUAUUUCUCCAACCAAGAAAUGGUCCAUAACGGAUCUAUAACAUUUAUCUGAGAUUAAAUGGAGUAUGUUAGGUGUUAAAUCUAGCACGCUUGCGCGUGUGCGUUCGUAGUGCGAGCGAGAGAAGUAUGCGCAAGCGUAGUUUGUCCGGUCAGUGCGUUCGCAGAAGUCGAGCUACUCCUACGUACAGGGACGGGCAAAUUCUAAUGCUUCUGUAAAAUGUCUGCUAAAGGCACUUCGUAUUAACGUGAAAAACAAUGAAUAUUUUAUUCAUUAGAAAUAUAAUUUUACUAUCUCCUUAUUCGUAAUUGUAUAUCCAUUAUGCAAAUUAGAAAUGGAUUCGUAUUCUUGAUUCUUACGAUGAUAUCAUGAGUAAAUGAUGUAGGAUGUUAAUGUUUAUUUAGAUAAUAGUUUAUUACAAAUUUUUUGCUUUAAUUUUAAUUUAUAAUAAAAUAAUAAAAUAUUAGAUCUAUUUAUUUUAUUGUUUGCAAGAUAUUAGAAUUAUAUGUGAAAAGUUCUGAAAAAAUUGUUAGAGAAAUUGUUAUUGCAAUGUAAGAAUACGUCCCUGUCUGUGCCAUAUUUCUUUUCUUUCGCCCACGAUGCCACAGUCCUUAGUAUCCACUUCUACCUUAAGAAUCGUUAUUUAUGGUAAUAACGUAUCACGAAGAACGCAUCGAUAUUACUUUUACAUUCAAACGGUUUAAGAAAAUAAUAAAUAUUUUAUAACAAUUAAAUUUUUAUGUAAAAGUAGUGUAAUAUAAUACAAUGAAUUUAAUCAAUUCUUUAUUAUAAAAUAAUUUUUCAUGAUUAUGAUAAAUUUUAUUUGUUAAAUUAUAAUUAGAAAUAGAUAGAUAUAAAGAAUCGUAAAGAAAUAUAUAUAUAUAUAUUAAAGUAUGAACAAUUGUGUCUUGAUAUGAAUUUAAAAAUUAUUUAAAUGAAUAUGCAAAUAAAAGAACGCGAAUAAUAAU